rnacentral:rRNA from 1 species
UACGUAGGGUGCAAGCGUUGCCCGGAUUUAUUGGGCGUAAAGAGCGUGUAGGCGGCUUGGUAGGUCCGCUGUGAAAACUCGAGGCUCAACCUCGAGAUGUCGGCGGAAACCACUUGGCUAGAGUCCGGAAGAGGAGAGUGGAAUUCCUGGUGUAGCGGUGAAAUGCGCAGAUAUCAGGAGGAACACCAAUAGCGAAGGCAGCUCGCUGGGACGGUACUGACGCUGAGGCGCGAAAGCGUGGGGAGCGAACAGG